CAAUCUUUGACGCAAAUUGCGCUUCUGGGUAGCCCUAGGAGCACGCCUCUCUCAGUAUCGGUUCCUUCUCAGACUAGCAGCGUCGCUUCGGCUCGUUUUCGAACGAGACAGGCGAGGUGUUCUAGUGACUGGAUGGUGAGAGCUUCGAACUGACCUCCGUCGGUUCGUCUCUUGAAAAGAUAUGAAAGAUUGCUUGGCAGACGAACACAUCCCCUCUAUCAAGUGAUGAGACUAACUAACCGUUCAGUGUACAUCAUGUUUUCGAUGGAGUGUGUGUGUGUUUGGUUUUCUCUGUCAUGUCGUCAACUCUUUCGAGUGUGACUCUGUUUCUCCGCAGCGACGUUUCAAAAGCUGUGUGAGGACGGUCCAACCCCUUUCUAAGUGGGUUGAACACUAACCAAAAAAUCAACUUGAUCUGAGAUGAGGUGAGAUUACCCCCUGAAUUUAAGCAUAUUAAUAAGGGGAGGAAAAGAAACUAACAAGGAUUCCCCUAGUAACGGCGAGUGAAGCGGGAAGAGCUCAAUGUGAGAAUCGGCCACCUGCUGAGGGUGCGUCGAGUUGUAGCCUAGCAGACGUGUAGUCAGCGUGUGACCCAGGUCCAAGUCUUUUGGAACAAGGCAUCAGAGAGGGUGAGAAUCCCGUAGAUGACUUGGAGUUCGCCGCGUACGACACAUGUUCUUCGAGUCGAGUUGUUUGGGAUUGCAGCUCUAAAUGGGUGGUAAGUUUCAUC
rnacentral:rRNA from 1 species